rnacentral:rRNA from 1 species
AGAGUUUGAUCAUGGCUCAGAUUGAACGCUGGCGGCAUGCCUUACACAUGCAAGUCGAGCGGCAGCGCGGGGGCAACCCUGGCGGCGAGCGGCGAACGGGUGAGUAAUACAUCGGAACGUGUCCAGUAGCGGGGGAUAACCUGUCGAAAGAUAGGCUAAUACCGCAUACGACCUACGGGUGAAAGCGGGGGACCGCAAGGCCUCGCACUAUUGGAGCGGCCGAUGUCGGAUUAGCUAGUUGGCGGGGUAAAAGCCCACCAAGGCGACGAUCCGUAGCUGGUCUGAGAGGACGAUCAGCCACACUGGAACUGAGACACGGUCCAGACUCCUACGGGAGGCAGCAGUGGGGAAUUUUGGACAAUGGGGGCAACCCUGAUCCAGCCAUGCCGCGUGAGUGAAGAAGGCCUUCGGGUUGUAAAGCUCUUUCGGCGGGGACGAAACGGUUCAUGCCAACACCAUGAACUAAUGACAGUACUCGCAGAAGAAGCACCGGCUAACUACGUGCCAGCAGCCGCGGUAAUACGUAGGGUGCAGGCGUUAAUCGGAAUUACUGGGCGUAAAGCGUGCGCAGGCGGCUCCUUAAGUCAGAUGUGAAAUCCCCGGGCUUAACCUGGGAACUGCGUUUGAAACUGAGGGGCUCGAGUGUGGAAGAGGGGGGUGGAAUUCCAGGUG